ensembl:piRNA 21ur-6885 ncRNA
UUCCAAUGUUCUUUGCUUGUU